GCUCGUCGCCUUGCUGGCACUCACAUAGGCUCCGUCAUCAUGAACUCCAUCCGCAACAUAGUACUCCCACCCAGCAUAGUUACUAGCAACAAAAAUCCACAUUACGGCAUACCUCUAUUUAGUUGCGUUACCUUAUGGGUUAAAGUGAUUGGUUUGAGGAGAAAUGAAUGUAAAAGAAAAAGAGGAACGAAUAUUGGAUUCAAAUUAUCCAAAGUCCGAACCCAAAGGAUGAUUACAUGGGGCUGGGUCGAACGUAGGCCAUUUGUUCACUUCGAUGUGAGAGAUACAGAGAGACUGUUUGUGGUCUCUACUGCCUAUUGCAUCCCACUCUUCCUCAUUGAUUGUUUCGCCCAAUUCGCUAGCUGCCCUCUUCAACAUCACCACUCUGUAAUUGCAAUUCUUUCAUAGCAACAACAAGAACCACAACAGCUAUAUUCGUAUCAAAUAUUGCACGAGUCCACCAAUUUCGGACCCAUUCUCUCGGCUUCACCUCCAAAACCCAUCUCCAAAUUCCACCCAUUUUCACUCUACCGUUCUGGGUCUCGCUCUUUCUUUCAUGCCAGGGUUUCUCAGUCAUCAGUUAAAUUGGAAAAUCAUGAAGAGGAGGAGACGGUUAAUUUGGCUAAAUUGAGGGUUUGCAAAACAUUGAGCUUCUUGGGAUUAACUACGAUUCUUGUAUACCUGGACAGUACAAUCACUUUAUUUGUCCCAAGUCUCUGUUUGGUUAACACAAUUCAAAGGUGGGCAGCUGAUGGAGAGGAGUCUAUCUUUUCAUAUAUCACCGAAA